rnacentral:rRNA from 1 species
AGUGAACGCUGGCGGCAGGCCUAAUACAUGCAAGUCGAACGGCAGCACAGUGAAGUUUGCUCUCUGGGUGUCGCGUCGCGGACGGGUGUGGAAUACAUGGAAACCUGCUCAGUCGUUGGGGAUAACGUAGGGAAACUUACGCUAAUACCGCAUGUGUUCUUCGGGGGAAAGUUCGGGACCUUCGGGCCUUGUUGGUUUCGAUGAUCCCAUGUUCGAUUAGCUAGUUGGCGGGGUAAAGGCUCACCAAGGCGACGAUCGAUAGCUGAUCUGAGAGGUUGAUCGGCCACACUGGAACUGAGACACGGCCCAGACUCCUACGGGAGGCAGCAGUAGGGAAUAUUCGACAAUGGGCGCAAGCCUGAUCCAGCAAUGCCGCGUGAGUGAAGAAGGCCCUCGGGUUGUAAAGCUCUUUUGUUAGGGAAGAAAAGAAGCGGAAGAAUACGUGGGUGUUCUGACGGUACCGGAAGAAUAAGCACCGGCUAACUUCGUG